GGGGCUGAACGGCUUCGACCGUAGUCUUAGCCGGCGCCCGGGGAGCGAGCCGAGGAGCCGACGCUGCCUCGUUAAUCCGCGCCGGAAACCAACAACUGCCGACCAAAACCUGGCGGUGGCGGCCUAAGAAGGUCCGCCUGUCGGACUCCUGACGCCCUGUAGGGAGAUCCCGGCAUCAGAAACAGGGCUCGACCGGCUGACCUGGCCACCGGGUCAGCCGGGAAACCGCAGGUGGCUAGGGAUCCGAGAGCUGCCUGGCUCCGGAGCACCGGAUCCCGAACCUGAUCCGGAACCUACGCUCGUAGAGCCUCAGCGUCGGGAUUGCGGGACCCGGGUUCGACUCCCGGCAGCUCCACCA
rnacentral:tmRNA from 1 species